rnacentral:rRNA from 1 species
UGAAUACGAGAUGCUACGGCGUCGAAGCAGUCUAUGUCAUACUUCCAAGAAAAGCUUGCACUGUCAUAAACAAAUAAUGCCUGUACCAUAACCGACACAGGUGGGUAGGUAGAGUAUACUAAGGGGCGCGAGAUAACUCUCUCUAAGGAACUCGGCAAAAUGACUCCGUAACUUCGGGAGAAGGAGUGCCUUAUUUAUAAGGUUGCAAUAACAAGACCCAAGCAACUGUUUAUCAAAAACACAGGUCUCCGCUAAGUCGUAAGACGAUGUAUGGGGGCUGACGCCUGCCCAGUGCCAGGAGGUUAAAGAAGUUGGUUAGCAUUAGCGAAGCUGAUGACUGAAGCCCUGGUGAACGGCGGCCGUAACAAUAACGGUCCUAAGGUAGCGAAAUUCCUUGUCGGGUAAGUUCCGACCCGCACGAAAGGCGUAAUGAUUUGGGUACUGUCUCAGAGAGGGACUCGGUGAAAUAGACUUGUCUGUGAAGAUGCGGACUACCUGCACCUGGACAGAAAGACCCUAUGAAGCUUUACUGUAACCUGAAAUUGAAAUUGGACUUUAUUUGCGCAGUAUAGGUGGGAGGCUUUGAAGAUAUUCUUGCGGGAAUGUUGGAGCCAUCAGUGAGAUACCACUCUUGUAAUGUUAGAUUUCUAACUUUGUAUCAUUAUCUGGUCAAAGAACAGUUUCAGGCGGGCAGUUUGACUGGGGCGGUCGCCUCCUAAACGGUAACGGAGGCGCACAAAGGUUUCCUCUGAACGGGUAGAAAUCGUAUCUAGAGUGUAAAGGCAUAAGGAAGCUUGACUGUGAGACCUACAAGUCGAGCAGGGGCGAAAGUCGGUCUUAGUGAUCUGACGGUGCUGAGUGGAAAGGCCGUCACUCAACGGAUAAAAGUUACUCUAAGGAUAACAGUCUGAUCUCCCCCAAGAGUUCACAUCGACGGGGAGGUUUGGCACCUCGAUGUCGGCUCAUCGCAUCCUGGGGCGGUAGUACGUCCCAAGGGUUGGGCUGUUCGCCCAUGAAAGCGGUACGCGAGCUGGGUUCAGAACGUCGUGAGACAGUUCGGUCCAUAUCCGGUGUAGGCGUUAGAAUAUUGAGAGGAGCCUUCUCUAGUACGAGAGGACCGAGAAGGACACACCUCUGGUGUACCAGUUAUCGUGCCAACGGUAAACGCUGGGUAGCUAUGUGUGGAGCGGAUAACCGCUGAAAGCAUCUAAGUGGGAAGCCCACCUCAAGAUAAGUAUUCUCAU